rnacentral:rRNA from 1 species
AGAGUUUGAUCCUAGCUCAGAUUGAACGCUGGCGGCAGGCCUAACACAUGCAAGUCGAGCGGCAGCGACAACAAAGAUUCUUCGGAUGAUUUGUUGGGCGGCGAGCGGCGGACGGGUGAGUAAUGGCUGGGAACCUGCCCUGACGUGGGGGAUAACAGUUGGAAACGACUGCUAAUACCGCAUGAUGUCUUUGGACCAAAGAGGAGGACCUUCGGGCUUCUCGCGUCGGGAUGGGCCCAGUUGGGAUUAGCUAGUUGGUGAGGUAAUGGCUCACCAAGGCGACGAUCCCUAGCUGGUUUGAGAGGAUGAUCAGCCACACUGGAACUGAGACACGGUCCAGACUCCUACGGGAGGCAGCAGUGGGGAAUAUUGCACAAUGGGCGCAAGCCUGAUGCAGCCAUGCCGCGUGUGUGAAGAAGGCCUUCGGGUUGUAAAGCACUUUCAGCAGUGAGGAAGGGUAAUGAGUUAAUACCUUAUUAUCUUGACGUUAGCUGCAGAAGAAGCACCGGCUAACUUCGUGCCAGCAGCCGCGGUAAUACGGAGGGUGCGAGCGUUAAUCGGAAUUACUGGGCGUAAAGCGCAUGCAGGCGGUUUGUUAAGCAAGAUGUGAAAGCCCCGGGCUCAACCUGGGAACCGCAUUUUGAACUGGCAGGCUAGAGUCCUGUAGAGCUGUAGAGGGGGGUAGAAUUUCA